AAAACUUCCAGGCAACCCCGGGCGGUUUUGACGUCAGGAGUAGGUGAAAAGGAGAGUCACCGAGCUAGGGACACGCCAGAGAGCAGAGCGCAUGUGGAGGGAGGCCGGGAGAGGUGGGCUGGGAACCAGGGAGGCGAUCAGACAGAAAAGGGGAGCGCUCAGAGGCCUCUAACGGUGAGGGACGGCAGGGGGAGGGAUCAGGGCAGGGACCCCAAGUCACAGGCGGCGAGGGAGAAGCCGCUUCUACCUGGCCCAGGUUUGCUCCAUGAUCCAGGCGAUCUCCUCGGUCUCGGGGCGCAGCUCACCCGGGAGUGGCCACAGCCCGGGAAGAUACCAAACCUUGCCCAGGAGUCUCCAGCGCAAAAAGCCUGAGUCUCUUCCUCCUCCCCAGCUCCUCUUGGCGCCGGCGCCGGCGAAGGAACGAGGUCUGCUCUCUGUUUUUUGGAGAGAGAGAGCCGAUCGGCCGCGGCCGCACCCUCAGCUAACGGUGCGCUGGGCACAAGGCAGGGACUGUUCUCGGGAGGUGGCUGGACGCUGCUGCUGCUGCCGAGCCCAGGCCUCGGGCACACUCGCUCCCAGGCUGAGACGCGACUGGCUGGCACGAGCUGAUCCGCACCAGCUGAGCUGUCAACCGCGGGUGAGCGGAGGCGGGGCUCCCUGCAGCCCAGGACCCGCCCAGGUGACACGCCGCGGUACACACCCUCCGACCUCCACCGCCUCCCUCGCAGGCUCAGAGGAAUGAUGGCCUCAGAAGUGGCCCUCGAUGACCCUCGUCCUACUCUCCGUCCCUCGCUCAUCCCGGUGAGAGGCUUUGGCUAAAACCAGCCAACUGCAAGGGAGCACCUUGGAGAGGUGGUCUUCCCCUGCGCCUGCGUCGCCCACCCACAGGUAACCUCCGAGCCAGAGAUGGAGUCUGGGAAGGAUGCGAUCCAACUGAAUGCAGGUGUGCCUACUAAAGCGUCAUGGAACACAAGUUCCCACAGCAACCGGGCUCUACCAGAAGCUCCUAGAAGACAGAGGGCUCUUGAGCAUCCCAAAAUGCUCUGAACGCCUCAAGACACUUAAGAGUGGCCCCCAGGACUCUCUCUACCGUGGCUGCUCUGAGAUCACGCCGAAAGGCUUUCCUUCCAAGGAGGGGGCUGCCCAGACCCUGUGCAUCUACGUGUGUACCAAUGUCUAAACAAGACAGACAUGCUGUGAUUAGAGGGCUUGCUGCCCGCCGCUCCCUUUUAACUCUGAAAUAAACCUUUUUAUUAAGU